AAUGCCAAUCAUGGCACUCUGCAUGCACCUAACCUAUUUUGAUCUUAGAAGUUAAGCAGGGUCAAGCCUAGUGAGUACCUGGAUGCGAGAGUUUAAGUCUAGUCUGUG
rnacentral:rRNA from 1 species